UGUUCUGUGGUUUAGUUGGCUAAAGUGUCGGACUAUUUAUACGAAGUCGGGCGUUCGAAUCCCAUCAGAACAC
rnacentral:tRNA from 1 species